UGGUGAGAGCGGAAGAGAGGUCAUACAGUCACUGCCAUUGAUACUAUCGGUGCUGUAUAAUAUCUAAUCGCCAUCUACUAUUCGCUGGAAUUUAUUCAAUACUUUUAACCAUCGAUGGGUGUCAAAAAUUGUUCGUUCACGAGACGAAAAGCGUGUUCUUAGUGUCAAGUGUGUUUUAGUGACGUAAAAGACGAAAGACGUGUACGUACAUAUAAUAAAUAAUAUUAUAAAUAAUACAAGUGAGAGAACAGGCAAUAAAGUGGAUGCGAGAGUCCUUUAGCUGUUAUUUAAGAGCACGAGGAUAUGUAAAUGCUCGAAGAGUCAAAUUUUACGUGAUCCCGUUCACAUUUUUAAAGAGUAGAAAAAAGCGAAUGGAUACAAGUUUGUUUCUGUAUUUGCAUCAAAGUGAAAAAAGUCUAGGUUUUUAUUCAUAUAAAUUUUACCAAACCAAACCACUUAGCAGCUAGGAAACCAGCAGACAACGAGUGCAAAAUAUAAUUGAGACGAUAGUGAAGUGUGUAUUUUUAUUUAUGUUUGAAUUAAA